rnacentral:rRNA from 1 species
UGGGGAAUAUUGCACAAUGGGCGAAAGCCUGAUGCAGCAACGCCGCGUGAGCGAGGAAGGCCUUUGGGUCGUAAAGCUCUGUCGAGGAGGAAGAUAAUGACGGUACUCCUCGAGGAAGCCCCGGCUAACUACGUGCCAGCAGCCGCGGUAAUACGUAGGGGGCGAGCGUUAUCCGGAAUUAUUGGGCGUAAAGAGUGCGUAGGUGGUUUUUUAAGCGUGGGGUGAAAGGCAAUAGCUUAACUAUUGUAAGCCCCGCGAACUGGGAGACUUGAGUGCAGGAGAGGAAAGCGGAAUUCCUAGUGUAGCGGUGAAAUGCGUAGAUAUUAGGAGGAACACCAGUGGCGAAGGCGGCUUUCUGGACUGUAACUGACACUGAGGCACGAAAGCGUGGGGAGCAAACAGG